GCCAAAUGCAAGCAUUUGAGCUUGAAUGACGCAGCAUGAAGCUUAACAAGAUAACACACACUUACGCAAAUAGUGAAAAAUAAAGAGAGAAAAUUCUUUGUAGUAUUUUUAUUAACUAAAAUCUCUAACAGAAAUACAUAGAAAUUAGGGGUAUUUAUAGAGUUUUUUAACUCCUAUAUACAAUAGGAAAAGAUCUCUACUAACUAGGAAGUUUAACUAAACCUAAAUACUUUAGAAAACCUAGAUAAAAU
rnacentral:misc_RNA from 1 species